CCAAGAGGCGUCCGGGUCUCCACUUGACCCGGCGUGGAAUAGUGGGUUUCAGAUCUGUGAAUGUCUAAGAAGUGCGGGACACGUUUCUGAUCUUGCGGGGUCUCUUUCUUUCCCUUUUUAGACAAACAUUUCUUCGUGUGCUGUUUAUAGAACACCUAUCGAGGCCCAGCUCCAGUGCUUGCGGACGCAUGACAAUGGGAAACAGCCCCUACUUUAGAGGGUCUCCCAGACAGUCGGGUGCAGAAGGAAACAGAGGAGGAGACACCAGGGAUAUGCAUGUACACAGAAAAGGUCAUGUGAGGACACAGCAAGAAUGUGACCAUUUCCAAGCCAAGGAGAGAGACUACAGGAUAAACCAAACCUGCUGAUACCUUGUUCUGGGACUUCCAGCCUCCAGAACUGUGAGAAACUCAAGGAAUAAUUCCUUCACAGCGACUUAUGAUUCUAUCUGACCAGGUGUUUUAAAACUUUUUGAGAUUUUUGACAGACUUCCCAAAUAUCAAAUUCUAAUUGAAAUUCUUUUGACUUCCAGUUAAAUUUGGGGUGCUUCAAGGGGCCCCUGGAAUAUCCCAAAGAGAGAUCCUAACCUAAUUGGGUUCCUUUGGUAUGUUAAAUUAUAUGGGAAACAUUGUCCAAACUCACUGUUGCCUAUGUGAGAUGGAAUCAUCAGGCUCUCCCCAAUUUUAUCACAGCCACCAAAAAGAUAAGGGAAAGGGUUUUGGGUUCUUCUUCUGUCUAGUCUCUCACCUUGCUCUAUGUCCAAAAAAUCCCCUGUGGGAAUACUCCCACCUCUAGGCCCUCAGGUCCUGACCCCCGUGGCAUUUUCCAUUGCACCCAACUCCAAUUCCUCCAGGAGUUCCUUUUUGCACCUCUAGGACCCUCUUCACUCCAGGCCUUGGCAGCCUAUACCUUGUUACAGACUACCUAUUGGGCUGGCCACUUCCAAGCAGCCCAUAUCCAAGCAGCCCACAUCCUAGGCUUUGUAGAUGUUCAGUCUCGAGGAAUACACCCCAACACAGGGAAAACUGUUACAGGACAUAAGCUUUAUAGACAACAGAUCCCCCUCAAGGAGAGCCCUGGCAAUGCACUAGCACUGGUUCAAAUGCCCCCUAUCAGGGACCCCUUGCACGAGGGCCUGAUGACAAGAGACAUCUGAUUAGGCAAUGGGAGAGUAGAGGAUGCUCAAAAUCCCAUUAGGUAAGAAGGGAAUUCGGAGGACACUCUGAUCCCCUUCCAACAAAAGCCUCCUGGUAAAAUGUCUCUGAGAUGCCAGGCUUCACUUCUAGGAGCGCUCUUGGUUGCAGGUUACUCAACACGGGAGGAUCCUCUUCUAAGCCAGAAGAAACACCUCUGGAAUGAUGUCCAAAUAGUCCUAUCUACUUGCUGUACCCCUGAGGAAAAACAGAGAAUUUGGGCAGCAGCCCAGGGGCACGGUGACCAGCUUGCCAGGGACCAAUCCCAAUAUUUUGUUAUGGGUGGAGAUGCAGUCCCAAAUCAGAAGCCCUGUUGGAAUUAUAAUUCCUGAGAGGGAACAGAAGUCAGGAAGCACAUGAUCCAAUGUGUAUCAGAAGGGAUGAGAAAGUGUAUCAAAAAGCCAGUUAACUAUGAAAAGGUUAAAGGAAUGACCCAAGAAAAAAAAGAAAAUCCAACCCUCUUUCAGGGGCAGCUUGUGAAGGCUUUUAGAAAAUUUACUAACAUUGAUCCAUCCACUCGCAAGGAUCAAUCCCUGCUGGGACAACAUUUUAUCAGCCAGUCCGCCCUUGAUAUUAGGCGGAAACUCCAAAAGUUACAAUUAGGCUUCCAAACCCCAAUGCGCCAACUCCUAGAGGGCCUUUGGGGUAUUUAAUAAUCGAGAUCAAGCCGAGGAGGAAGAGAGAACCCGAUGUAAAAACAGGAAGGCCAGCGCUCAAGCUAAACUGAUGGCCAUAACUGUCAGCCGUGUCUUGCAACCUCAGGACGAACCAAGGGGGCCAAGGAAGUUUAACCAUCCGCCUGGAGGUAAAACAGCAAGGGGGAAUGCUUCAAAUGUAAGUCAACCGGCCACUGGGCCCAAAAGUGCCAAAGGGAACCCCCUGGUCCAUGCCCAGUCUGCAAACAAAAAGGUCAUUGGAAGUGGGAUUGCCCUCAGUCCUGAAGAUGAAGGGGGGCUCCCACUCCCGAGACAGCCAUGCUGGACGACUGAGGCAGCCCGGGGAUUCUGACGGCUCCCCACAACGAGAUGUCUAUCUCCAUCGAGGAGCCCUGGGUGAUCCUUGAGAAAGGUGGCAGACUCCAGCAGUUUGAAGUAAGGCUCAUGAUGGCUCAAGGAGUUCAACCCAGGUCCCUACAGGUCCUUGGAACAGUCAGCAAGGGACUUCUACACCUCCAGGGUAGGCUAGGGUCUGUGGCCCCUGCCAGCAGGAAGAAGUUUCAGAAGAGACCUUCAGCCUUUACCCCUUAAGACUUACAUGCUUUAAUGAAGCCAAGCUUCCAUGUCAGUGAGCCCCAUGUGGCAGAGAACUAAGGGAGGCCUCCAGCCAAAAGCCAGUGAGGAACUAAAUCCAGCCAACAACCAUGUGAGUCAGCCUGGAAGCAAAUCAUUUCCCUCUUGAGGCUUGUGAUGACCGUAGCCCCAUUUGAUACCUUGACUACAGCCUGUGAAGCAGAGGACUCAGUUAAGCCAGCCCAGACUCCUGACCCACAGAAACUAUGAGACAAUAAAUAAGAAAGAGACUGGG